UACAUUGUAAACAAUACGCAUGACAUAAGAAAGUUAGACGGACAUAUGACAUUAUCUUUGUUAUUAAAAGGAAUAAAUACUCCUGUAAUAUAUCCGGGCUCCCAACGGGAGAGUACGUUACUGUGCGACACAGCACGUAACAAUUGGCGACGAGGACAGUGUUUGUCGAACCCAAGUGCAUAUUUUGUGGAAAAUUAACGUUUCUAACGUAGCAUUCGUGAACCACAGUAUACGAGGCACGCGGGAAGAGGAAUUCUCGGAAUUCGCGGGAGUAAUACAAGGACAGGUUCGGUAAGAAGACUCGACGAUUAAUUAUCAGCGGAGUCAGCGACAGAGUAGACGGAAGUAGGGAGUAGACGGAAAAUUAAGAAAACGAGUAGAGCAAACGAGUCCUACGCGCUCACAUAGAGGAAGUAAACAUCAGGCGAGCCGCAGAACAUAACAAGAAGGACGUUGAAGACGAGAUAAUAGGCAAGGAAAUAACACUAUUCACACAAUGACGGGCAAUAACGGAACCAAGUUAGAGUUUCAGCUUGGCAAUGACGAUUUGUCAUUGUGGUUUCGAUCGUUAAGACAUUAACACCAGUCCGAGAAAACACACUGCGUACCGUUACUGGAUCAAAAAGUCCAUUACUACCACUGACCACAGAGCUCACAACCAACAAGACUCGUUACUGGUGCGUCACGACAUGACAACAGUCAAAGAUGAUCUAGACAACCGCCAAGCGCUGCUUUACAAAUGUAAAAACCACGGACACUUUUUAACAGAAAUGACUUUAUAUACAUAUACAUUUAAUACGAAUAUUUUAAAAAGUAACAAGUAGUUCAACGCUGAAGAUGACCCAAAAAAAGGGCUCGAAA